UUCCGUAGGUGAACCUGCGGAGGGAUCAUUACCGAGUUUACAACUCCCAAACCCCUGUGAACAUACCAAUUGUUGCCUCGGCGGAUCAGCCCGCUCCCGGUAAAACGGGACGGCCCGCCAGAGGACCCCUAAACUCUGUUUCUAUAUGUAACUUCUGAGUAAAACCAUAAAUAAAUCAAAACUUUCAACAACGGAUCUCUUGGUUCUGGCAUCGAUGAAGAACGCAGCAAAAUGCGAUAAGUAAUGUGAAUUGCAGAAUUCAGUGAAUCAUCGAAUCUUUGAACGCACAUUGCGCCCGCCAGUAUUCUGGCGGGCAUGCCUGUUCGAGCGUCAUUUCAACCCUCAAGCCCCCGGGUUUGGUGUUGGGGAUCGGCGAGCCUCACGGCAAGCCGGCCCCGAAAUACAGUGGCGGUCUCGCUGCAGCUUCCAUUGCGUAGUAGUAAAACCCUCGCAACUGGUACGCGGCGCGGCCAAGCCGUUAAACCCCCAACUUCUGAAUGUGACCUCGGAUCAGGUACGAAUCCCG
rnacentral:rRNA from 1 species